UACAGAGGAUGCAAGCGUUACUCGGAAUUACUGGGCGUAAAGCGUGCGUAGGUGGUGAGUUAAGUCUGAUGUGAAAUCCCCGGGCUCAACCUGGGAAUGGCAUUGGAUACUGGCUCGCUAGAGUGCGGUAGAGGGUGGUGGAAUUCCCGGUGUAGCAGUGAAAUGCGUAGAGAUCGGGAGGAACAUCUGUGGCGAAGGCGGCCACCUGGACCAACACUGACACUGAGGCACGAAAGCGUGGGGAGCAAACAGG
rnacentral:rRNA from 1 species